UGGCUCAGCAGUUAAGAGCACUGGCUGUUCUUCCAGAGGACCUGGGUUCAAUUCCCAG
rfam:Mesocricetus auratus contig010288, whole genome shotgun sequence.